CCAGGAGGCUCAGAACACCAGAGCCAGACAGGCAGCACAGAAGGAUCUUCCUGCACCCUGUGCUAGACCAGGAGGGCUGGCAUGAAAGAUCUCUGAGCCACAAGUCCAGGUGUCAGUUCUUUUGCAUUGUGCAGCUUUCACAAUGGAAUUCCUGAUCUUCUUGUUCGCCCUUCAACUUGGAAAAGCAGAGAACCAGACAGACCUGAGGAAAGGAACCCCAGUGAAGGGUGUCUCUGAAUCCACAGCCAGUGAACUGCAAAUAUCAUUUAGUAAAUACCAUAAAACUUGGGUCUGGCUCCUGA